UCAGGGCAGUGAACUGGCGCAAAGGCAGCACCCACUGCCAGGGACUCACCUCGGCCCCGGGACUUGGCCGCAGGCUUUAUGAUCCAGAUGUUCCGCAGCCCGUCAAUCUCCAUCUGAGGGUUCACAGAUGUGAUUUUGUUCAGCAGAGCCUGGCACUGCGAAAAGUAAUUUCUUGAAUUGGAGAUGAAAGCAUCGCCGCUACAAAGCAAGAUCCAGAAGGUGCAUGAGACUCCGAGACACAGAGCCCGGCCCCACUGAACAAGCGGGUGCUUCGGCUGUGGGGCAGUCUAGGUCCCACCUGGUGGGACAGGACUGGGGCAGGUGCAGGACCUCGGUGCUGCCACCCCAACAGGAUGAUCCUGUUAGGAAGCUUCCUGGCCUGUGCAAGCCUGCCUGUGUCUCCAUCAAUGCAAGCUGGGCAGUCAGUGUGACCUCAGGACCCUGCUGGUGGCUUUGCAGAGUUGUGGCAGCCAUGGGCCUGACUCAAGAAGUCACUGUUAUGUAAGGGAACAGGAGGGGCUUGGUAAAACUGUUCCAGUGGCUUCCAGAGCUCAGGGCACAUUACUGCUGCCUGGGGGAGAGAAGCCCACCCUGAAAUGGCAGCUGCCCCAGGCCCAUCGGAACUUCCAUAUGUGGGGAGACCCAGAGCCCCAGCAGCAGGUAUGGGCGUGGGGCCCCCAGCCUCCUGAUGAGGCAGCUGCAGCAAAGGAUGGGUGGUACAGUCACAUUAUGGCUCAGGCUGGGGGUGGAGGAGCAGAGCCCUCGGGGACCUGGGACAUUUGUGUUCCAUUCACUCCUGUGGCAGGGACAGCGAGAAGAUUAAAGUGAGGCUGGGGUGGCCCUGGCAGUGUGAAUGGCCCCACUGUGUGGCGCUGCAGUGGGGACUGGAGGGGCAUGGCCCCGUAGUGACAGGCUCCUCCCUGGGUGCCUGCAGCAUGCCAUGCAGCGGGCAAGGCCACGCUCCCUGGGUUCCACUGGACUGGCACGCACCCCUCUGUAGUAGGUGUCACGCCCAGGAUGACAACAGUUCAGUGUGGCCUGGACAAGACAUGGUGCCCCCAGACAUGGUUCCCUGUGACAGCCCUAUCUGGCACAGACUGGCCCCAGACCACUGUGGUGCACACAAGUCAAGGCAAUGUUGUCUACUAUGCUGGUCAUGGCCAAAGCCCCCAGGAGACCAGCAGGCUCCUGCUGACUCGGUGACUCAGAAAGGACUUGCCGCCCUGUGGGAAGGAUGCCCUGGCAGCUGUGUGGACAGGACAGGCCCCACCCCAGAGCAACCCCACAUGCUGCUGAGGUCGGCAUUUGGGCAGGACCACCCUCGACUGCAAGUCUGAGGUCAUCCUGGCAUAACCUUAUGCCAUCUACGCCUCAGCUGGGGAACCCUAGGAGGAUGCCUGAGCUGCCCUAGAGCUGUGCAUCCCACACCAGCUGAUUGUGAGGGGGCCCUGCGGUCCCCAGAGCCAAGAGCCAGGAGCUGCAGUGAGUAAGGACACAGGGUCCCUGCGCUGGGCCUCUGAGGGAGACUUGCUAGGCCGGCGAUGCGCCAGCCUCAAGGGCCGUGUGGGAGCCAAAGCCGCCACCUGGUGGUGACUCCUGAGAAAAUGCAGUAACGUGCACAGCACGGGGUCUGAGGAGCAGCCGCAGGACUUCAGGGACACACUCUGGUGUGGGGCCACCCACAGCAAAGAGCCUCAAGCUGUCACCCUGGAUAGAGUGCCGUGGCAUCACAGCUCACAGGAACCUCCAACUCCUGAGCUCAAGCGAUUCUCCUGUCUCUGCCUCCACCUCCCAAGUAGCUGGGAUUAUGGGUGCCCGCCAUAAUGCCUGGCUUUUUUUUUUUUAUUAUUGCAGCCGUCAUUGUUAUUUGGUGGGCCCAGGUUGGAUUCAAACCCA